GUAGUGCACACAGCCACAAACAAUAGUACAAUGUUUACAAGAGAGUUACCUCCCCUGUUUUCCAGGCUAAUCUCUUUCAUGGACAGGUUCUUAAUUCAAUGAGAUACGAAGACUCACUAACUGCUUGCUGUCUCGAACAAUAGUUGGACUACUCUGCUGGUUGUUUCAUCAUGCCAGGAUGCUGCACUGCACAACUUUCUUGUUGCUUUGGAACAUCUUCCUGUGGGUUUUGCUGUCGCUGCUGCCACCCCAUCAAUGAAUCAACCAGUACCCGUAUUAUGUAUACCUUGUUUUUCUUUUUUAUAAUCCUUAUUGCCUGUUUAAUGCUCUUCCCUCAAAUUCAAGAUGAGGUUGUGAAAAAAGUCCCUUGGUUUAAUGAAACCUGCUCUUAUUUAAGCCUCGGUGUGGACUGCCACCAGUUGACUGGUUUCAAAGCUGUCUAUCGAAUUUGUUUUGGUUUAUCAGCCUUCCAUUUCUUGCUUUUCAUCUUCACCUUUCAUGUAUCCAAUUCAAACGGAUUCAGAGCAUCAAUUCAGAAUGGGUUCUGGUUCUUCAAAUUUGUGAUUCUUUGUCUCUUCUGUGCUACAGCCUUUAUGCUGCCAAAGGAGUUUAAUUUGUACUGGAUGUAUGUUGGCAUUGCUGGUGGAUUCUUGUUUAUUUUGAUUCAACUUAUAUUCUUGGUAGAUUUUACAUAUGCCUGGAAUAUAAAAUGGUCAUAUAAACCUUCUGGAGAAAUAAAUACAUGUGGUGCUGCAGGCACAAUCAUUUGUGGCCUUCUGUUCUACCUCGUUGCCAUUGGUGGUAUAGUGUGGUUAUUUUACAACUACACUCGUAUUAAUGGUUGUAACAUCAACAAGACCUUCAUCAGUAUCAAUGUCGGUCUUUGUCUUUUACUCAAUGUUGUCACCCUCAUCCUUUGUUCUUCCAAACGAAACCAUAAUGCCGGAAUCCUGCAGUCUUCCGUUAUAACUCUAUACGUCAUCUUCCUGACAUGGACAGCUUUAUCCAGUGAACCUCCAACUGAUGUAUCCCUGUCUGACACAAUUCUUCCCAAGAAUUCCUUCAGUAAAGUCAUGUCCAGCUCAGACAUUGCGGCUGUUAAUGAUACAUUGUUGUACAGGUGCCGUCCUAUCCCUGUAAUCAGUGACGAUAUAUCGGCCUAUGGUGGAUUGGUGCUUAUGAUUGCCCUAGCCCUUUAUUCCAGCCUCACAUCUUCUGGUCAGUCCUACAAACUGAAAUAUAAAGCAAAGGAAAAUUCUGAAGAAACUUCAUGUUGUUGUUGCUAUAAAAACCGUUUUAACCCGACAGACUUUGGAGGACAACAGGUAAUCUACAAUGAAGCUACUGGUGUCAUCUACAGUUAUUCAUUUUUCCACUUAGUUUUCUCUUUUGCCAGUCUUUACAUCAUGAUGCAGUUGACUAACUGGCACAGACCCGAUGAGACAGAUCUGGUUAAAUUUGGACUCAACUGGCCUGCAGUCUGGGUAAAACUAAUAUCAAGUUGGAUAUGUGUUCUUAUCUUCUUAACCACUACACUUUUCCCCAAGUGUUACCCCUGUAGAGGUCUGGCUCUACAAACUCGAUUAGCAAAGCAGGAAUCAAACCAAAAUAAUGCAGAACAAGAGACUUGUUUAAAUUCUUAGCAAAACUAGCUGACAUCUUGUAUGUUUCUAUCUUACUUCAAAUGUCUUUCUAAUGUCUUUUCUACGAAGGUUUCAGAAUGCACGCAUACGAGUAUGCAGUGUCUCUUGUAUAUAAAUGUAUGCAUGUUGUAUGUAUGUUACAUGUCACUAAUAUGUAUGGCAUAUGUAUGGAUAUUUGUAUGCUUUGAUUGGUUAAGAAUGCUGACAUAUUUCACAUGUUAUCUCUUCUUCAUUUCUAACAGAAAUGAAAUUCUGUAUUGUACCAACUGCAAUUAAGAAACAUCUGAAAAAAUUAACAUUAACAGUUUUUUUAUCUGCUGCUAUGAAUGUGGCACAAACGAAUCUAAAUACCUAGUCAUAGUCAUUUGACUGCGGCCAUGCUGGAG
rnacentral:misc_RNA from 1 species